CAGCAGCCGCCGCGGUAAUACGUAGGUCCCGAGCGUUGUCCGGAUUUAUUGGGCGUAAAGCGAGCGCAGGCGGUUAGAUAAGUCUGAAGUUAAAGGCUGUGGCUUAACCAUAGUACGCUUUGGAAACUGUUUAACUUGAGUGCAAGAGGGGAGAGUGGAAUUCCAUGUGUAGCGGUGAAAUGCGUAGAUAUAUGGAGGAACACCGGUGGCGAAAGCGACUCUCUGGCUUGUAACUGACGCUGAGGCUCGAAAGCGUGGGGAGCAAACAGGAUUAGAUACCCCCGUAGUCCCUGUCUCUUAUACA
rnacentral:rRNA from 1 species